rnacentral:rRNA from 1 species
UACGUAGGGUGCGAGCGUUGUCCGGAAUUACUGGGCGUAAAGGGCGCGUAGGCGGCUCGAUAAGUAGGAGGUGAACUCUCACGGCUCAACCGGGAGGCUGCCUUCUAGACUGUCAAGCUCGAGCACGGUAGAGGCAGAUGGAAUUCCCGGUGUAGCGGUGGAAUGCGUAGAGAUCGGGAAGAACACCAGUGGCGAAGGCGGUCUGCUGGGCCGUUGCUGACGCUGAGGCGCGACAGCGUGGGGAGCAAACAGG